AGUGAGCGCUGGCGGUAGGCCUAACACAUGCAAGUCGAACGGCAGCACAGAGGAGCUUGCUCCUUGGGUGGCGAGUGGCGGACGGGUGAGGAAUACAUCGGAAUCUACUCUGUCGUGAGGGAUAACGUAGGGAAACUUACGCUAAUACCGCAUACGACCUACGGGUGAAAGCAGGGGACCUUCGGGCCUUGCGCGAUUGAAUGAGCCGAUGUAGGAUUAGCUAGUUGGCGGGGUAAAGGCCCACCAAGGCGACGAUCCGUAGCUGGCCUGAGAGGAUGAUCAGCCACACUGGAACUGAGACACGGUCCAGACUCCUACGGGAGGCAGCAGUGGGGAAUAUUGGACAAUGGGCGCAAGCCUGAUCCAGCCAUACCGCGUGGGUGAAGAAGGCCUUCGGGUUGUAAAGCCCUUUUGUUGGGAAAGAAAUCCAGCUGGCUAAUACCCGGUUGGGAUGACGGUACCCAAAGAAUAAGCACCGGCUAACUUCGUGCCAGCAGCCGCAGUAA
rnacentral:rRNA from 1 species